UCCCAUCGACCUCCCCGCCCAGUUCCGCCUCCCCCUCCUGCAUCAGGAGCCUCUCGAUCUCCGAGAGCGCCACCUCCCCGAGCGGGUUCGUCCGGGAGGUCACCGACUCCGGCGACCCCGCCUCCGCAUCGUGCGCCGUCGCCGGCGCCGGCGGAGGCGGGGACGGGAUGAUGAGGCCGGAGACGGCGGCGGGGUCGCCGGAGAAGGAGGCGAGGAGGGCGUCAAGGUCGAUGUCGGGGAAGAGGUCGAUGUCCAUGGGAACGGCGAGAUAUUUUG
rnacentral:lncRNA from 1 species